rnacentral:rRNA from 1 species
GAUGAACGCUAGCGGCAGGCCUAACACAUGCAAGUCGAGGGGUAGAAGCUUUCGGGCUUUGAGACCGGCGCACGGGUGCGUAACGCGUAUGCAAUCUACCUUUUACAGAGGGAUAGCCCAGAGAAAUUGGGAUUAAUACCUCAUAGUAUUUUCGAAUGGCAUCAUUUGAUUAUUAAAGUUCCAACGGUAAAAGAUGAGCAUGCGUCCUAUUAGCUAGAUGGUAAGGUAACGGCUUACAAUGGCAACGAGAGGUAGGGGUCCUGAGAGGGAGAUCCCCCACACUGGUACUGAGACACGGACCAGACUCCUACGGGAGGCAGCAGUGAGGAAUAUUGGACAAUGGGCGCAAGCCUGAUCCAGCCAUGCCGCGUGCAGGAAGACGCAUCUAUGGUGUGUAAACUGCUUUUGUACGGGAAGAAACACUCCCUCGUGAGGGAGCUUGACGGUACCGUAAGAAUAAGGAUCGGCUAACUCCGUGCCAGCCGCCGCAGUAAGAC